GAAAGCUGUAAUGCAUUUUUCAUUAGCAAAUCAUCUUUCAUUUCAAGAUUAUGUCUGAAUGAGGGAUUUCAAACCCUGAAGCGGCUCUUAAGUAGCUCUCCAGAGAAUAAUCCAAACCGAUUCCAGAAUUUGGUCUACUGUGACAUGAGCUGAAGGAGGAGGAGAAGAGUCUGAUUUCCUGGGGUACCUGCCGCCAGCCUUCUCCACUAAGGGGACGGGAGCUGAAGGCACUGGAGAAGGCAGGACUGUUCGAGAAGACCCCGCCAAACUCCCUACGUUGCGAUUUGGCCGCUUUCCCUGGAGUUCUCUGGCCAUCAGAACAUGAUUUAAUUAUUUUAACUUUUGUAAAUCAUACCAUGCAUUUUUAGUUUUAAAUUGAGUCAGGAGAGGGGCCUUGAGACUUUAGGUGAAUGAGAGAUUGCUAGGGUUGUGCGUUAGAAAGUUUUAAAGGUUUUGGGUUUGCAUAAUGGAUGCUAUUUCUGAAACUGAUUGAACCACCGAUCUUUCAAGUCAUCUCUUGAUUCCAUUGGUUUCUGCGGCUUGACAAGCUCCUCUGUAACUGUUUUGGGAAUUUCAGUCUGAAAUUAUAAUUCACUAAGGGAGCUUUUCAGCCCAUCUUGCCAUUAAUUAAAAGCAAGCGGUUGAUUUUUUUUUUCUUAACACUCACUAGUUAGGGUUGCCUGCCUUUACUUUUUUUUUUUUCAAUCUUUAUUUAAGAAUGUGUAAAGCAUAUUUACAGGGAAACAAAGCAACACAUCAAUUAGGCAAUACUUUUUUGGUUGUAAAUGAUAGAAAUUGAGCUUAAAUUAUUAUAAACGAAAAAAGAUGCUUUAUUGGCUUAUGUAAUUAGGAAGUCUGUGGGGUAAGUGGCUUCAGGAAAAGCUGAAUCCAGGGGCUUGAAUGAUUUGACAAGGUCUCUGUCUCUUUCCAUUCUUUGCCGGGUUUGUCUCUACCUUGUCUCAUUCUCAGAUAGGUUAUCUCACUACAUUUUAGGCAAGAUGGUAAGCAGCAACCCGAUACAAACAUUAUAUGUUUAUUUAAUUCUUUUGGAAGUAAUAUAUAUUUUUUAAAUUGAGAGGUUUAUACUUUCCCCCAAAUUACAGAAUUGUUAAACCUCAUUAUGGAAGUCUCUAGUGUAUUGUUUUCUUCUGCAUUGUGUUGAAUUGUAAAUGCUAUUGAAAAUUCCAGAAAUAUAAAAUUUUCUAAAUUUUA